rnacentral:tRNA from 1 species
CAUCAGAUGACUGAAAGCAAGUAAUGGUCUCUUAAACCAGUUUAUAGUAUUUUAGCAAAUACUUCUGAUGA